rnacentral:rRNA from 1 species
UACGUAGGGCGCAAGCGUUGUCCGGAAUUAUUGGGCGUAAAGAGCUCGUAGGUGACUUGUCACGUCGGGUGUGAAAGCUUGGGGCUUAACUCCAGGUCUGCAUUCGAUACGGGCUGGCUAGAGGUAGGUAGGGGAGAACGGAAUUCCUGGUGUAGCGGUGAAAUGCGCAGAUAUCAGGAGGAACACCGGUGGCGAAGGCGGUUCUCUGGGCCUUACCUGACGCUGAGGAGCGAAAGCGUGGGGAGCAAACAGG